UUCCCACAAUGCCUUUCUGUACUCUUCAACUUCCUCCUAUAAUCCUCCUUAUGCAAAAGCAGAAAGAAGAUUCCAGGCUGGCUGACGGACAUCUUCAUGAACCAUGGUGUGACUCAUAAUCGGUGCCUGCCGCUAUGUGGCUAGGAAAAUAGCAGCAUCUCUGCGUAGAGAGGAUCCGGGGAAGCCCAUACUGGCAUGUAGCAGGAAUCGGGCCUGUCAAGUUGGCAACCAAAGAAAUACAACCAUGCCCCAAUCUACCUGUUGCCCUGCCAGCAAGGAGCACUCCGCUACUCCUACCUCAGAGGUUGGGAUCCAGAAGCCUCAUUCAUGAUGGAAUAAAACGGGGGAUGGCGAAGGGAAAAUGACGGUUUGUUUGACAACUCCUGUGCAUGCAGGAAUCGAACAGACCUGAGAAUCCUUUAGCCAAGCCUCCCAGAUACACCAUUUUGAUUUAAAAAAAAAUUUAAAUAAAGAAGCAUUUGCUGAUCUUGAAGAUA